ensembl:lncRNA
GCAUUUAAAAAGGCAGUCACCAGAUCUGAAAAGUCACAAAUGUUUGGAAAAAUCACAGAUGUUUAGAAAAAUCAAUGUUUGGAUUCACUUAGUAUGAAUUCAUCAAUAUCACUAAUAAUUCAGCAUUGUAUAAAGAUGAUGUUAACAUAAUGGAUCUGAAUAACAAUGUACAUGUUGUGUAAUAAGUUUAGACAAUUUAGAAAGCUUUCCUCUACCUUAAAUAUCAUAUUCUUAACUAUCCCAAAGAUUAAGAAUUUUUGAAAAGUGAAGGCCUCUCACUGAGUGAGAAAUUAGAUUGACUUUGAGAAUACUAAACAAGAUUAAGGAAGACGUGCAAAGGUCAGGAAAAUGAUGGGCUGUCACACUUGGCCACACUUCUGUGCUUGGUGCAGUGGUGACUUUGACAUGUGCCCUCACUGAGCUACUCUUGUAUCCAGCCCUGCAACUGUGUUCCUUUUUCUCAUUAAUUCUAGGGGAUAGAGUCCCCUCAGCAUUGAAUACAACUAUUUAUUAAGAUCUCAAACAGCAUCAUGGUCAUUCCAGUAAUUGAAACUAUUUACUCAAGAAUUUGUGGUUAUUUCGGUUCUUUUUUCCCCUCAUUUGAGUCUACUCAGUGUCACAAUCAGAACUCUUUAUCUCUUCAAUAGCUAACUAGUCACAACCAACCACAACUGUCGAAACUAAAUCACCUUUUUCGCCCAAAUAAGUGGGGACCUCUAUUAGCUCCUUUGUUUCUUUUUGAUUUUGCUUUUUCCUUUUGUUUUGUUUUGUUUUUCUUUUAAUAGCUUAGCUUCAUUCCUUAAGUAUGUACCCCCAUUCUAAAAGUCCUUUUUAUAAAUUCUUCUCGAAGAUUUUGGAGCCCUCAUGCAGAGUUCUUUGUGCCUUAUUCUCCAGAAACAGAACUUCAGCAUCUAGAGAUUUCAAGGAAAUGGGAGCUGCUGAAACCACAGGAUCUGCUCGCGGCUUCCAAACACUCUGCGCGGACAAUAUGACCACAUCCAUGUCCUCCUCCGACUCCUGUGAGGCCCUUUUCAUGGAGUCCAGGCCCUCCCCUGUUUCUCCCAGAGGAGGAAGUCCAAGGCAGGGUCUGCAUCUCCCUUGUCUUUGCAAAAACCCCACAAAAGCUCUCCUGGAUGGUGUCUAAAGUAAAACUUCUUGGUUAUUUAGUCUGGUUAUACCUGUUGCAAAUUCUCUAAUUCCUGUGGGGUUCACAGAGAGCUACAAACAUAAUAAAACUGCAAUGGAAAUUUCUGACUCUAUUUUUCGACUAUUACCAAAUCUUCUAAGGUUCUAAGACCCUUUGCUCUAAAGACAGAUAGAGAACCACUCUAAUACAAAACAGCAUUGGUUCUUCUCUCUCAAAGGGAAUUGGGACUGUUCGGAAAGUCCUGGAAAUUUGCUAUAUACUUUAAAAAUCUAGAAUGCCUUCCCAACUGGCACACUCAGGAUAUGAGGAAGCAAUGUCAUUGCAAAUCACUCCUGACCGACAUUUAAACUGAGUUACUUUGUUUAGGUUGAGUUUUCCCUUCGUGCCCACAGCAUCCUCAGAACCCUUGUCAUCAAGGCUUAGGUAGAAACCUCUGCUCUUCAAAUCGUGCCUUCCUUUCGGAUCUAGUUAAUUCUAGUCAGGAUUCUAGGAAGGCCUCCUUCUGAAGACAAUGCAAAAAUAAAAAGAGCGACAGACCUUCCUUUUGUUGACAGCUUUCCAUCAUUUUCAAAAUCAACUGUGAUUCAAACUUAAAAAAAACCCAAGUUAGUGCGUGAUGACUCCCUAGACUCUGGGGCAUCAGGUAGUGCCAAAUUGAGAUUCCCCUGACAAUUUCUGAGGACAAAGAUCUUCAAGGAGGGCAGCUCUAGGGAAAGUUGAGUCAGAUCUGAAGUUGUGUCUCACAGACGCAGCAUCCACUGACUCCUGACUUUCAGUUUGUAUUUUAGAACUGUUCCCAGGGGAUGGAGACAAGGAGCAUCCACUGACUCCUGACUUUCAGUUUGUAUUUUAGAACUGUUCCCAGGGGAUGGAGACAAGGCAGUGAUCAAUCAGGAAACAGUCAAACACGUGCAGAUGGUUGAGAACAGCUCUCCUUGAAUGCCAGUCAUGGGAGGUGAGGAAUGAUCAUUCUUCUACAUAGUUCUAUUAAAAAAAGUGAAAUAAAAUUUGUUCCAUUUUGUUAGAGUUGCAAAAAUAAAAUGACAAACACGUCCUCAAUUGGGU